rnacentral:lncRNA from 1 species
GUGCUCGAGGCGGUUUCCGGGGACUGGGCGGCCUGGAUCCCUCUGGGACCGAAGGUCUUAAAGACUGACAGUUUCCAGAGAAAGGCGGCUCUUAGUCGCAAGCUCCCGUCGCGAAAGUAAAGGGAUCCAUGCAAACCGAGGCCCGGAAGAGACAGCCUGGCGGCUACGGGCUGCCGCGAGGUCCAAGCCCCGUGGUUAGGCGUUCCUGCUCGGGGCGGAAUUCUCGCCCGGCGGUCCGGAGCCCGCGGCGGCGUCCCUGAGCCAGCUUUCGGUGUGGCCUGUGCGGUGUGCGGGGAUGAGAGCUCGGAACGGGGGUUGAUGGAGGAGCGGGAGUGACAGUGAAACGACCGAGCCAGAAAGCACGUGGGGAGAGGGGACAGCGCCAUUGGAGGCCUGAUUUCUGGUCCGCUGAACCGGUGGUUUCUCCCUGAGGGACCUGGAAACCAGCAUCCCAGCGACGCCUUGCAGAUGCUGAGUCCUAAGGUUUUCGAAGGUGCUGCUGACCCAACAAAGCAAAACCAAAGUCCCCGCCUGUCAGGGAGCGCAGAGACUCAUCAAACAGGUCACUCCGGCUGCUCAUUGGCAAAGAGACCGGCAAAAGGCAAGGACAAAUGCAGGGAAAUGUCCACUAAUGAAUGUUGAUGGAAGAAUCACAUGGCAGCAGUCGACAUUCUGCAACCACCAGGGCAUCGCCCUUGAUGGAUGGUGAGCCACUGGGGGAAAGUUCACGGGAAAAUAGAAGUAGUACAUUUAGAUAUCUAAGUAGUCUCGAAGCUUCUUCCCCACAGAUUGCUAAUUCCUCACAAAGGGAGAAUAAAAUAUAUUUAGGACGUUCUCUUGUCCCGCAGCUAGUUACGGAUCCAGUGUUGUCACUGCAGCAGCUUGGGUCGCUGCUGUGGCUCAGGUUUGAUCCCUGGCCCAGGAACUUCAGCAUGCUGCGGAUAAGGCCAAAAAAACAACAGGAGUUCCCAGUCGUGGCUCCGUGGUAACGAACCUGACUAGCAUCCAUGAGGAUGUGGGUUCAAUCCCUGGCCUUGCUCACUGGGUUAAGGAUCAGGCACUACUGUGAGCUGCGGUGUAGGUCGCAGACUUGGCUCGGAUCCCGUGUUGCUGUAGCUGUGGUGUAGGUCGGCAGCUGCAACUGUGAUUCAACCCCUAACCUGGGAACCUUAUGCCACGGCCCUGGGGGAAAAAAACAAACAAACAAACAAACAAAAAAAUACCAACAAAAGCCUUUCCGAUGGAGAAAUCUAUUACCAUUUCAAUCUUGGGUCAAACACCAAAUAUCAGCAAUAAUGAGACAAACUGAUGUUUGUGCAUCCUGGUAGGAUGCCCUGAGGACACACAUCAUUUAUGCAGCACUGCUGCCAAAAAUGUGUUCCCUGACUCCGUGUAGGGGCAGUCAGAACAAUGUACCCUGAGAGGCGUUCACACAGCACGCAGCCUCUACUCUCAAUGCCAGAGUCCCAGAGGACAAAGGAAAGCUGAGAACCCUUCCAGAUUCAAGGCAUUUAAUGGAAUCCCUUAACGGACUCUGCCUCGAAAAUGGAAGGAGGGGCCCCAAGCCGAAGAAGGCAGGCAGCCUCCAGAAGCUGGAAAAGGCCAGGAAAUCUUCCAGAGGCUCCGGGAGGAACCAGCCCUGCUGACAGCUCAGUUUUAGGAACUGGCCUCCUGAACUGUAAGGCAAUAAACUUGUAUUGUUUGAAGCUACUGCGUCUGCAGUAAUAUGUUACAAAGGGGCCAGGGAAAAGGGACGUGGUGGACAACCAGAAACAGACCCGACGCCGAGCCCCGCCACCUGCUUUAUCUCAUAUAAUAGUUUUUUUUUUAUUGAUCUUCUAAUCAAAGUAUUUUGCAUAUUGAUUCAGCCAUCAAAUAAAUAUAGUACUUCUC